AACUAAUCUAAUUAAAUCUUUUCCUCGUUGACUUGGUCACCAAUUAUUCUUUAGUUCAAAUUUUAAAUAAAGAUUUCCGCAGAGAUUUUCCUCUUCCGUGAUCUGCAAAUAAAAUACCAAACAAAUCCAAAUUAAUCCAAAAUCACAAAAAAAAGGGAAUUCGAAAUCCCCCUCUAUUUCCCACGACUCCAAAACCGUUUCUCCCCUCUCUCCCAUAAAUCUCUCCCAAAACCUAAACUACCCAUGAGCCAUCUUCUCUCUAAUAUAUUUUUCUCCUAAAUCAGUUUCCCCUUAUUUCCACAUCUUUGCAACGAGCUGCAACUCUGCAACAAGAAUUCAGGGAAGUUUUCCUUUUAAAAUCCACGGCAGACUUCGAAGGGUACCUAAAUUCUUAACUCAGUCCUAACUGUGAAAUUGAAAUUUUCCAGCUUCAAGAAUCUUCCUUUUCAGCCUUGUGAACUCCACAGCCAAGUCCUACCCACGGAGGUAUAAUUUCUACCCAAUUCUAAAGCGUGAAUUUUUAGCUUUUUGUUCACAACAUAUCAUCAUACUCCGCCUCCAACAUAACUCAAUCAACCAACGGCGGAUCCAGGUGGGGUCGGCCGACCCCACCACCGGCUCCGGAGUGCCGCCGGAAAGCUCAAUUCAUUGGCCUCCGACCCACAGCGUUCGCAUCUUUGACCCCACCUCAACAUAGGGUGAGAUGACGUCCGGAAUCCAGCAGUGGCCUCGCGGCAGGGGAGGCGGUGAUUAUCGAGAAUGAAGAGAUGAGGAGAAUUGUUUCAGUUUGUUUACAGAGAGAGAUGAAACUGGAUUUGGCGUUGGGGGAGAUGAAAUAGAGAGAAAUGCUGAAUACAAAAAGUCUUGAUCGUCGUUAUUAUUUCUUUUUCCCAAUAUUUGUAAUAUUUCUUUUUCCCAAUAUUUACAAUUUUUGCCCCCACAAUUUAACUAAAGUUAAUACUCUGCGCAUUAAAUAAAUGGGCUGUGAAAUUUUCUUU